rnacentral:rRNA from 1 species
UGGGGAAUUUUGCACAAUGGGGGAAACCCUGAUGCAGCGACGCCGCGUGAUUUAGAAGGCCUUCGGGUUGUAAAAAUCUUUUCUAUGGGAAGAAAAUGACAGUACCAUAGGAAUAAGGACCGGCUAAUUACGUGCCAGCAGCCGCGGUAAUACGUAAGGUCCGAGCGUUGUCCGGAAUCAUUGGGCGUAAAGGGUACGUAGGCGGGUAAGCAAGUUAGAAGUGAAAUCCUAUAGCUCAACUAUAGUAAGCUUUUAAAACUGCUCAUCUUGAGGUAUGAAAGGGAAAGUGGAAUUCCUAGUGUAGCGGUGAAAUGCGCAGAUAUUAGGAGGAAUACCGGUGGCGAAGGCGACUUUCUGGCCAUAACCUGACGCUGAGGUACGAAAGCGUGGGUAGCAAACAGG